rnacentral:rRNA from 1 species
ACGCAGCAAAAUGCGAUAAGUAAUGUGAAUUGCAGAAUUCAGUGAAUCAUCGAAUCUUUGAACGCACAUUGCGCCCGCCAGUAUUCUGGCGGGCAUGCCUGUUCGAGCGUCAUUUCAACCCUCAAGCCCCCGGGUUUGGUGUUGGGGAUCGGCGAGCCCUUGCGGCAAGCCGGCCCCGAAAUCUAGUGGCGGUCUCGCUGCAGCUUCCAUUGCGUAGUAGUAAAACCCUCGCAACUGGUACGCGGCGCGGCCAAGCCGUUAAACCCCCAACUUCUGAAUGUUGACCUCGGAUCAGGUAGGAAUACCCGCUGAACUUAAGCAUAUCAAUAAGCGGAGGA